rnacentral:rRNA from 1 species
UACAGAGGGGGCCAGCGUUAUUCGGAAUUAUUGGGCGUAAAGGGCGCGUAGGCGGCUUGGCAAGUGGAAGGUGAAAUCCCUCGGCUUAACCGAGGAACUGCCCUCCAAACUGCUUCGCUUGAGACCGGGAGAGGUGAGUGGAAUUCCGAGUGUAGAGGUGAAAUUCGUAGAUAUUCGGAGGAACACCAGUGGCGAAGGCGGCUCACUGGUCCAUUACUGACGCUGAGGUGCGAAAGCGUGGGGAGCAAACAGG